rnacentral:tRNA from 1 species
GCCGGAGUGGCGGAAUGGUAUACGCAAACGACUCAAAAUCGUUCGGGGGCAACCCCUUGAGAGUUCAAGUCUCUCCUCCGGCA